rnacentral:lncRNA from 1 species
UGCUUUGGGGGAAUAAUUAAGUUUAAUAGGAAUAGGUCUGGAGGGUUUUCAAUGCCAAGACCACAGGUGCGGGGUGGCAUGAUGAAUGAUUUGCCUGAUUUUUGCCAAGCUCAAGGGCUCUUCUCUUGGACUUUUAAGCAGAUAGAAAAUAUUGUCAUUUCUUUUAAUUCACAGCAUUACUUUCAAGCCGAACAAAGGCCAGGGCCGGGGGGAGGCGGGGGAAGGGCUCGGCUGUAAUGAAGCGCCUCUAAGGCGGAGGUGCUGCCGUGGAGGCUGAGGCGGCGGCGGAGCGCGCUGCUGCGUUUGUGCGCAAGUGACUCUCCUGUGCCACACACAAAAGGCCUCCCUCUUCCCACCUUCUGCCGCCUUUCAGCCCUCCGGCUCCUGCCGCUUUGGGACAUCCGCCGCUGCCAGGGCAAACCUCGCCAAACUUUCCCCAAACUCCGCAGGCCGGGGAGGGACCCUGGCCGGAGGCGCGCAUGCGCCCCGCCCGCUGCUCCGCGUUCCCAGGGUUCCGGAGAGCCGGGGUGGAGUCGUGUAGAAGUGCCUAAUAACCAUGGCUAGUGCGCGCUCCCCAAUGGCGAGGGUAUGACAGGGACAGCUGGCUCAGUUUUCAGUGUGAAAACACCCCCUCGGUGGACCAAACACAACGACACUGACCUUUCUUCGGGGGGAACCAGGGAUGUGCCUUUGACUGAAUUAGCCAUAAAGACGUCUUGCUAUGACUUUUGUUCCCCACGAAAGCAAAGAAAUAUUGCGUUUAAUAUGAGAAGUACUGUUCACAGCUUUUCCGUGCCCCUUAAGAAAUAUUACAGUGCUGAUUUACUGGCCUUGUUUCCAAAGUUCUCUCUUUGCAACAGCAAAUUUAUCAAUCUUUUCAUCUGACAAUACUUUGAAAUAUAUCAUUGUCAUCUAGAGUUGUUUGAUAGAUUAUCUGCAGGCACACAGCCUUUUUCAAGGUCAAGUUGAAGAUUCUUGUUUGCUGUUUAACUGGGUUGUUUCAAAACUCAGAACAAUGCCUGCCUGUUAAAUUUUCACUUGUUCUCAUGGGGCAUUCGAAAGCAAGUUUUCCUAUUGACCAGGUCUCUGGACAUUUCAUCCUCUUGAGCUAAAUUCAGCAAACA